NNNNNNNNNNNNNNNNNNNNNNNNNNNNNNNNNNNNNNNNNNNNNNNNNNNNNNNNNNNNNNNNNNNNNNNNNNNNNNNNNNNNNNNNNNNNNNCAUUUCAUGUGUAAUCAUAUUUAGAAAAUAACAUAUCACAAAUAAUUAUAAUCUUUUACUAGUGUUAGAUUUUGCUCAGGUAGUAGAGCAAAGUUAAUGUGUUCUGUGUCAUUCAUAUAGGGCAUUUUUAAAUGAUUAGAAACUUGACAAGAUAUGAUAAACCUGAAUACUUGAGAAUGUUUUGUUCAUUGUACUGAAUGUUUUUUUUCAAUCUCAAUGUGUCAUUUUGUAGGAUGGAAAUUGUGGAGAUGACCUUUUGUACCCUGGAGCACCAAUUACCAAAGGUCAAAGUUUGCUCCUUCUAAUGGCUUACGUCCUGAGGCAUAACCUGACCGGGAUUGCACUGGACCAUCUUUUAAGAAUUUUUCAUGAACUUUUCCCUGCACUGAUACCAGCAACCUCAUAUCUCUUCCAUAAAUCCUAUGGCCAAUAUGGCGAGUAUGUGCCCCAUUUCUACUGCCAUCAGUGUUCAAAUUAUAUUGGAACAAAAGAAUGUGGUUUGACACAGUGUGUUCUGUGUGAGGCAGAAUUUGAUGUGGAAGCUAGUCUAGAAAAGGGUUCAUAUUUUUUGGUUAUCAGUUUAUCUUUGCAAAUUAAAGAGAUUCUGGAAAAUCCCAACAUCAAAAUCCAAAGACAUACAUCAACUCCAGGUUUUAUUUGUGAUGUGCAAUGUGGAGGGGAGUAUAGGAGGCUUAAAGAUAGUGGUGAAAUAGGUGAUGAUGACAUCAGUCUGAUCUGGAACAGUGAUGGGAUCCCUGUUUUUAAAAGCUCUAGAUGCCAAAUAUGGCCUAUUCAGUGCCAAAUCAUAGAGCUACACCCUACAGAUAGGAAGAACAACAUAUGUGUUCCUUGUCUUUGGUUUGGAGAGAGCAAGCCUAAUAUACAGACUCUCCUAAUUCCAUUUGUAAAAGAGCUACAGGAACUUCAAAGUAAUGGGAUCACCUGGGGAGAUGGUUGCACUUCAAAGGUGCAUGCACUUGUAUGUAGUGCAGAUUCAGUUGCAAGGCCACUUCUCCAAAAUAAGAAACAGUUUAAUGGCAUUUAUGGCUGUGACUUCUGUUACCACAGAGGUGGAGGCUCCUAUCCAUAUGUUAUUCCUGAACCCCGUCUUCGUACAGAAGUUGAGCAUUUUGACAAUGCCAUGAAUGCAACACCUCAGCAGCCCAUAAUGGGAGUGAAAGGCCCAAGUCAACUAAUGAAACUAGACAAAUUUCAAAUGGUGCAAGGCUUUGUUCCAGAAUAUCAGCAUAGUGUAUGCCUUGGAGUUACUAGACAGCUGACUUCUCUGUGGUUAGAUUCCACAAACCAUCAGCAUGGUUGGUACAUAGGCACCCAAACUGAGCAGAUCGACGAAGUGCUUAAAAAAAUUUCACCACCAACUGAGAUCACAAGAGUACCACGAUCUAUGCAAGAAAGGAAGUUCUGGAAGGCGUCUGAGUGGAGGUCGUUUCUUUUGUUUUAUGCUUUGCCUGUUUUAAAUGGCAUCCUCCCCAGAAAAUACUGGAAUCAUCUUUUCCUUUUGGUUUUUGCAGUAUAUCAUCUACUGCAAGAAAGGAUCAGAGAGGCCGAGGUGGUGAUAGCCGAGCAGGCAUUGAAAAAAUUUGUCAGGGAGUUUCAGGGGUUAUAUGGCACAGCAAAUGUGUCAUUUAAUGUGCACCUCAUGACACACUUGGCUGCGAGUGUGAGGAACUGGGGACCAUUGUGGGCCACAUCCACAUUUUCCUUUGAAUCUUUUAACGGCACCCUGUUGACAUAUUUCAAUGGCACAACUCAUGUCCCUGUCCAAAUAAUGAAAAGGUACCUUAGGGAAAGGAGUCUCACAAAGAAAGGAGCAACAGUUAUGCAUAAUGCCAAUGAGUAUGUCAAAGAUCUUUUCUAUGAACUACAGGGCAGAAAGUGUUCAACUGACAAAUCAGUUCAGAUCAGUGCCCAUGUCAGAGUUUUUGGUAAAUCAGUACAGAAAGAUGUCUCGGUUUUACACAUGCUUGCAAUAGAUGACCUACUAGGUGUUAGAGUGAAACAAGCCUCCUACUACAACCGUUUCAUUGUGAAUGGAAUACUGUAUCACUCUGACACAAACAACCGCCUACAGAAAAGAAUCAACUCUGUUGUUGAGUUGCAGAAUGGCACAUUAGUCAGAAUUGUGAAUAUGGUCGUUUCUGGUGCAACACACUGUGUUUUGGUCAAGGAGCUUGUUAAGUCUGGAAGGAAGCUGUGCAGAGACACAACACUUAAUAUUGCAUCAAGCUUCAUGUAUGAAGUGUCUGAGUGCAAUAUAGUGUAUGCCAUCCAUCCAGAGUCAUUGACACGCAAAUGUGUCAUGGUUGAAUCCAGGGAGAAGGUAUAUGUUAUUCCGCUGCCAAACAACAUUGAACGAGAUUAACGUGGCAUCAAGAAAAUUUAAUACUGCCAAGAAGUCCAAGAUUCCUGAGACCUAUUGAAUUGACUUGUAAAUACAAUAUCUGUACAAAGAAUUACUGUUCUUUACCUGUUACAUAAAGUGACCCUUCUGUCAAUCAAGUGUUUGUGCAUUAAUUCAAGAUGUAACAGUAAAAAAAUGAACUUGUCUUACUCACUGCAGCAUUGUAGCAUAUGACCCUUUAAGAAAUCAGCCUAACAAUGUCAAUACACUUUCCAUUAGUAGGCUACAGUAAAUUAAUAAAUGACUAAAUUUCCACUAAAAGUGUUUGCAUUUUAGCAUCUUUUGUGACAGUACUCUGAUAUGCUAAUAAAAGUACACUUAAAUUUUAGUGCACUUUGUUUACAGUCUACUAAGAUUACACUACAGAUGAAGUGAAAUCAGUGUACACUUUAAUAAAUUAUACUUUGUAUUACAAAUAAGCGUACUUACUAAAAGUACACUAAAUUACCACUAUACAUUUUUGUAUUUUAACAUAUUUUAUGAGAGUACUCUGAUAUGCCACUAGAAAUACACUUAUUUUAGAGUGUACUGUAUAAAGUGUACAGAAGUCACACUUCUAAUGAAGUCAGAACAUAGUACACUUUAAAAAAGUAUACUAACAAUUAAUUUNUUAUUAUUUU
ensembl:lncRNA